CUCCAAGACGCUUGACCGCUCUUCCUUUCCUGGAUGGCACCAGCAGGGCCGAUUGGAGUGGUAAACCCUGGGCCGGAAGGCAUGCCAAAGGGUGGACAGGAUGGACAGGAGACAGUAGCACAACGAGGAGGGGGAGAACAGCGGCUGAAUUGGAAAUGAUAAAAUAAAAUGAAAUUUUAGGAGCUCGCUACGGAGUCUGG
rnacentral:lncRNA from 1 species